UCUAGUUGUCGCGCACGCAGGCGGUAAACAACCCUCCGCGAGUAGCUGCUAAUGGCAGUGAUCAAACUCGUGCAAAUCCCUGAGCCUCCGAGACCCAGGGACCGAGCCAGGCUCCCUCUGUUUCUUCCCCCGGCCCUCACAGAAAUUCUCUAUUCCUGUCACAGUCGGGUCCACUCGCUGCUGCCGCGCGCCGGGAGCUGAGCGUCUCGGGAGAAAGUGUGGGCACCCCCUGGAAACGUGUUAACGACCAGUGCCCUCAGACCUGCCUCCUACCGCGCUUGCAGGCGCUUCCGAGCUGGCCUCAGCCUUGACAAAAGCCCGCGACUCUAAGGCACCCAGUAACUGCUACGCCUUUAAAACGAACACGAUCUUUAAUCAGAGCGCAUUUCUAGUCCACGAAACGCAGGUUGGCUAAAGAUGCGGUUUCUGGCUUUUUGAUUAGCGAUGUCCGUGAAAGCACGAAUUUGGGGGCCUGCAAAGUAUACAGCCAUGUUGAAACAAAAAACAAAACAAAACAAAAAACUCGGACUCGAUUCUCACUGAAAUACGCCAGCAUUGAGCUGUCAUGAUAUUUUCCCGUGAGAGAUGGAUCGAAAGGCGCCUCUAAGGGAAUUUCAGAAUAAUAUUGUUUCCCUUUCCUUGAGCGAGACUGAAAAACUUUAGAAAAAGAAAAGCUUGUACCUAGAACAAAGGAUCACACCGAAUACAUAUCCUAGAAUAUAGUUCACAUCCCUCGCGUCAAGAAAAGAUUUUUGCUGAAUUUCAGUCUACAAUUUGAGGCUACAAAAAUAAGAACUACUGCCUCCCUUGUUUCUGGAGAAACUGCUGGAGUGUAAGUUCAACCUCUUCAAGUCUCUCUCUUCUCUCUGGCCCUGCCCUCCCCCACCUCCUCUCUCUCAAUUUGUCUUAUACUAGUAUUGCAGCUUACUAAGUGUAGGGAUGAGUCAAUAUUACAUUAAAAUGUCAAAGGAGUGACCGCAAUUGCAAAGAGGGAUUUGGGAGCAAACAUAGGGGAGACCUACGGUAUUUCUAUCUGAAAGAAUGGAAUGUGGGUUCACCUUUGCUUUAGGGUGGAUGCUGCAAAAGGGUAUUCAUUUAUAAAAUCUAACAGUAAACCAUAUUUCUAUCUGAAAGAAUGGAAUGUGGGUUCACCUUUGCCUUAGGGUGGAUGCUGCAAAACGGUAUUCAUUUAUAAAAUCUAACAGUAAACCAGGCAAUGUAUACAUCAUAAAAAUAAGCCACAUCUCUGCCCUCUUAAGAAUUUGUUCUCUGUUAGAAGCAUAAUAAACAUAUUUAGAUGAAGGGCUACUUUUCGAUGCUCCCACUUGGGGAAAAAAUAAAUUGGUUUUGGCUGUGUCCAAAAUAUUAGAAACCUUAACCUUCCCUCUGCUGCCGCCGGUUUAUAAGCACAGCAUAUUCACAGGUGCUCGGAACAGCCGUGGUUUCUGAAACGGGCUCUCAGAGACAGAAUGAGUGUGGAUGAUCAGAGAGUCCUGACUCUGGAGCUGCUCCCUACAUGUUUCAGCUGUCUGCUCAGACAUGUAGAUGAUUCCCCACACUUACAACCAAAAUGACGAUGAAUAAAAUGAUUUGAGAUUUUUAUGGGAUAACGGCUGCCCUGUGAUUUGUGGUUGCGGCCACUGCUUGCAGAUGAUGGCUUUGGUCUCAGCUUCUUUACUUCUGUGCUACUCAGAACCUCUGCCGGAGCAAACAACCAUCAAAUGCCUAACUGCUGCACACAGAACAGUGCCUAAGGUCUCCAUGAGUGAGAGAAAGUCUUGGUGACUUCUGCCUGAUGUAACAUCUCUUCCGCCUCAAAGGAACGAUGCUCAUUUUUCCCUCUCAUUCAUCGUAGCUGAGGUAAUUUUUGCUCACACAUAUCCCUUUCACAUCUUACAGUUGUUCUCAGAAACCUCAGAAAAUGUCUGUACCCUAUAUUUUCACCUCUGUUUUUUAGUUCUAUUGGGGAACAGAGGGAAAUUCCAACCCCAAUCAUGUAGGGCGAUACAUAUAAAAUUCAUACUGGUCAUAAACAUGGAGUCAUGGUAAUCAUAAAUCUCUACCAAGGAAAAGUACUUACCACUUCUUGACACCAUUGUGUUUCUCCAUCCGACCCCCCACACUACAAUGUCAGCUCCGUGUGUUGCUGUGUGUUCUCUGUAUAUUCCCUGUGCCUAGAACAGUGCCUGACACAUAAUAAAGAUCCUC